rnacentral:rRNA from 1 species
GCGAGCGUUAAUCGGAAUUACUGGGCGUAAAGCGCAUGCAGGUGGUGAGUUAAGUCAGAUGUGAAAGCCCGGGGCUCAACCUCGGAAUUGCAUUUGAAACUGGCUCACUAGAGUACUGUAGAGGGGGGUAGAAUUUCAGGUGUAGCGGUGAAAUGCGUAGAGAUCUGAAGGAAUACCAGUGGCGAAGGCGGCCCCCUGGACAGAUACUGACACUCAGAUGCGAAAGCGUGGGGAGCAAACAGGAUUAGAUACCCUGGUAGUCCACGCCGUAAACGAUGUCUACUUGGAGGUUGUGGCCUUGAGCCGUGGCUUUCGGAGCUAACGCGUUAAGUAGACCGCCUGGGGAGUACGGUCGCAAGAUUAAAACUCAAAUGAAUUGACGGGGGCCCGCACAAGCGGUGGAGCAUGUGGUUUAAUUCGAUGCAACGCGAAGAACCUUACCUACUCUUGACAUCCAGAGAACUCGCUAGAGAUAGCUUGGUGCCUUCGGGAACUCUGAGACAGGUGCUGCAUGGCUGUCGUCAGCUCGUGUUGUGAAAUGUUGGGUUAAGUCCCGCAACGAGCGCAACCCUUAUCCUUGUUUGCCAGCACGUAAUGGUGGGAACUCCAGGGAGACUGCCGGUGAUAAACCGGAGGAAGGUGGGGACGACGUCAAGUCAUCAUGGCCCUUACGAGUAGGGCUACACACGUGCUACAAUGGCGCAUACAGAGGGCGGCCAACCAGCGAUGGUGAGCGAAUCCCAAAAAGUGCGUCGUAGUCCGGAUUGGAGUCUGCAACUCGACUCCAUGAAGUCGGAAUCGCUAGUAAUCGUGAAUCAGAAUGUCACGGUGAAUACGUUCCCGGGCCUUGUACACACCGCCCGUCACACCAUGGGAGUGGGCUGCAAAAGAAGUGGGUAGUUUAACCUUCGGGAGGACGCUCA